ACACACACACACUUUGUUAAAUUAAAAAAGAGAGCACAAAAUGACAGUUGGCGACGUUUAAGAACGGCUUGUUAAUUGCUAAAGCCAUAUGGUCAAAAUUAAAUGAUUUACAAAAAAAUUA